ACUGGGCUUAGUUAGGAGGCAAACAUGAACCUGGAGGAGCAGAGGUUGAUUUCUCUGGUCUUCCGACGGCUAAGGCCUUUUUGAGGGGACUGUUUUGCUGCUAAACCCAGAUCGAUUGUCCCCCAAGCAGCCUCGGACAUUC